AGUGAACGCUGGCGGUAGGCCUAACACAUGCAAGUCGAACGGCAGCACAGUAAGAGCUUGCUCUUACGGGUGGCGAGUGGCGGACGGGUGAGGAAUACAUCGGAAUCUACUUUUUCGUGGGGGAUAACGUAGGGAAACUUACGCUAAUACCGCAUACGACCUACGGGCGAAAGCAGGGGAUCUUCGGACCUUGCGCGAUUGAAUGAGCCGAUGUCGGAUUAGCUAGUUGGCGGGGUAAAGGCCCACCAAGGCGACGAUCCGUAGCUGGUCUGAGAGGAUGAACAGGCACAAUGGAAAUGAGAAAAGGGCCAAAAUCCUAAGGGAGGCAGGAGGGGGGAAAAUUGGGAAAUGGGGGGAAGCCUGAUCCAGCCAAACCGCGUGGGUGAAGAAGGCCUUCGGGUUGUAAAACCCUUUUGUUGGGAAAGAAAAGCAGCAGGUUAAUAACCCGCUGUUCUGAAGGUACCCAAAGAAUAAGCAACGGCUAAAUUCGUG
rnacentral:rRNA from 1 species